rnacentral:rRNA from 1 species
CCUGGCUCAGGCGUACACGGAACCCGUACUGUGGUAUCAGUGGCGAACGGGUGAGUAACACGUGAGCAACCUGCCCCUGACUCUGGGAUAAGCGCUGGAAACGGCGUCUAAUACUGGAUAUGUGACGUGACCGCAUGGUCUGCGUCUGGAAAGAAUUUCGGUUGGGGAUGGGCUCGCGGCCUAUCAGCUUGUUGGUGAGGUAAUGGCUCACCAAGGCGUCGACGGGUAGCCGGCCUGAGAGGGUGACCGGCCACACUGGGACUGAGACACGGCCCAGACUCCUACGGGAGGCAGCAGUGGGGAAUAUUGCACAAUGGGCGCAAGCCUGAUGCAGCAACGCCGCGUGAGGGACGACGGCCUUCGGGUUGUAAACCUCUUUUAGCAGGGAAGAAGCGAAAGUGACGGUACCUGCAGAAAAAGCGCCGGCUAACUACGUGCCAGCAGCCGCGGUAAUACGUAGGGCGCAAGCGUUAUCCGGAAUUAUUGGGCGUAAAGAGCUCGUAGGCGGUUUGUCGCGUCUGCUGUGAAAUCCGGAGGCUCAACCUCCGGCCUGCAGUGGGUACGGGCAGACUAGAGUGCGGUAGGGGAGAUUGGAAUUCCUGGUGUAGCGGUGGAAUGCGCAGAUAUCAGGAGGAACACCGAUGGCGAAGGCAGAUCUCUGGGCCGUAACUGACGCUGAGGAGCGAAAGGGUGGGGAGCAAACAGGCUUAGAUACCCUGGUAGUCCACCCCGUAAACGUUGGGAACUAGUUGUGGGGUCCAUUCCACGGAUUCCGUGACGCAGCUAACGCAUUAAGUUCCCCGCCUGGGGAGUACGGCCGCAAGGCUAAAACUCAAAGGAAUUGACGGGGACCCGCACAAGCGGCGGAGCAUGCGGAUUAAUUCGAUGCAACGCGAAGAACCUUACCAAGGCUUGACAUAUACAAGAACGGGCCAAAAAUGGUCAACUCUUUGGACACUCGUAAACAGGGUGUGC